rnacentral:rRNA from 1 species
CCUACGGGGGGCUGCAGUGGGGAAUAUUGGACAAUGGGCGAAAGCCUGAUCCAGCCAUGCCGCGUGUGUGAAGAAGGCCUUCGGGUUGUAAAGCACUUUCAGUGGGGAAGAAAGCCUUGGGGCUAAUACCCUCGAGGAAGGACAUCACCCACAGAAGAAGCACCGGCUAACUCCGUGCCAGCAGCCGCGGUAAUACGGAGGGUGCGAGCGUUAAUCGGAAUUACUGGGCGUAAAGCGCGCGUAGGCGGUCUGAUAAGCCGGUUGUGAAAGCCCCGGGCUCAACCUGGGAACGGCAUCCGGAACUGUCAGGCUAGAGUGCAGGAGAGGAAGGUAGAAUUCCCGGUGUAGCGGUGAAAUGCGUAGAGGUCGGGAGGAAUACCAGUGGCGAAGGCGGCCUUCUGGACUGACACUGACGCUGAGGUGCGAAAGCGUGGGUAGCAAACAGGAUUAGAUACCCUAGUAGUC